UACGAAGGGGGCUAGCGUUGUUCGGAAUCACUGGGCGUAAAAGCGCACGUAGGCGGAUCUUUAAGUCAGGGGUGAAAUCCCGAGGCUCAACCUCGGAACUGCCUUUGAUACUGGGGGAUCUCGAGUCCGGGGAGAGGUGAGUGGGAAACUGCGAGUGUAGAGGUGAAAAUUCGUAGAUAUUCGCAAAGAACACCAGUGGCGAAGGGCGGCUCACUGGCCCGGUACUGACGCUGAGGUGCGGAAAAGCGUGGGGAGCAAACAGGG
rnacentral:rRNA from 1 species